rnacentral:rRNA from 1 species
CCUACGGGGGGCUGCAGUGGGGAAUAUUGGACAAUGGGGGCAACCCUGAUCCAGCCAUGCCGCGUGUGUGAAGAAGGCCCUCGGGUUGUAAAGCACUUUCAGUGAGGAAGAACGCCUGGUGGUUAUUACCCAUCAGGAAAGACAUCACUCACAGAAGAAGCACCGGCUAACUCCGUGCCAGCAGCCGCGGUAAUACGGAGGGUGCGAGCGUUAAUCGGAAUUACUGGGCGUAAAGCGCGCGUAGGUGGCUUGAUAAGCCGGUUGUGAAAGCCCCGGGCUCAACCUGGGAACGGCAUCCGGAACUGUCAAGCUAGAGUGCAGGAGAGGAAGGUAGAAUUCCCGGUGUAGCGGUGAAAUGCGUAGAGAUCGGGAGGAAUACCAGUGGCGAAGGCGGCCUUCUGGACUGACACUGACACUGAGGUGCGAAAGCGUGGGUAGCAAACAGGAUUAGAUACCCCUGUAGUC